UACGAAGGGGGCUAGCGUUGUUCGGAAUUACUGGGCGUAAAGCGCACGUAGGCGGCGCGUUUAGUCAGGGGUGAAAGGCCUGGGCUCAACCCGGGGACGGCCUUUGAUACUGGCGCGCUGGAGUGCGGGAGAGGGUGGUGGAAUUCCCAGUGUAGAGGUGAAAUUCGUAGAUAUUGGGAAGAACACCGGUUGCGAAGGCGGCCACCUGGCCCGUGACUGACGCUGAGGUGCGAAAGCGUGGGGAGCAAACAGG
rnacentral:rRNA from 1 species